rnacentral:rRNA from 1 species
UAAUACGGAGGGUGCAAGCGUUAAUCGGAAUUACUGGGCGUAAAGCGUGCGUAGGCGGUUUAUUAAGUCAGAUGUGAAAGCCCCGGGCUUAACCUGGGAACUGCAUUUGAAACUGGUCAACUAGAGUAUGGUAGAGGAAAGUGGAAUUUCUGGUGUAGUGGUGAAAUGCGUAGAUAUCAGAAGGAACAUCAAUGGCGAAGGCAACUUUCUGGACCAAUACUGACGCUGAGGUACGAAAGCGUGGGUAGCAAACAGGAUUAGAUACCCUGGUAGUCCACGCCGUAAACGAUGAUAACUAGCCGUUGGGGGGAUUUACCCCUUAGUGGCGAAGCUAACGCGUUAAGUUAUCCGCCUGGGGAGUACGGCCGCAAGGCUA